CCCCAUCUUGCUAGAUGGCCCAGGCAGCCGGACCCUCAAUCCGGAAACGCGGGUUCGAAUCCCGCUGGGG
rfam:Chondromyces crocatus strain Cm c5, complete genome.